AUUCAUGCGUAUUAGUAGCAGGUGUGGUCGAGCGCGUGGGCGAGGGUGUGAGCGGUGGCGUAGGCGAAGCUUCAGCUACGCGAAUUGAUUUUUAUUGAGUUAGAUGAGUUUUUCGAAUUAUUUUAUUAGAGUUUAAUCGUGUUAGAAAUGGAGAGAGAAAUAAGAGCGUAUGAAAUUUCGAUUUGUUUAUUACAAGAGACCAGAGCAGACAUGGGGAACGACGGACGCCAUGUGGAGUAAAAUGACAUAUUUAAUGGCAGUAUUCAAAGACGACAGCAAAAUACGACACCGAAUUUCAGCCAAAUACACGGGAAUUCCCAGCCAGAUGCUUAUACGAAAAUUUUGCCAUUGUGUGAAAAAGUUUAAACAAAUGUGUAGAAUUAUGUUAAUAAGAAAGUAAAUAAGUAAGUUUUUAAAAUAUGAUUAGUGCACAUAAAAGAUGUAUGUAUUAAUAUGCAGGUAUUUGUAUUGAUCCUACAAAAACAUAUAAUUUAAUUUCUUUAGAGACGGACAAACGCACCGAAAACAAUGCUGUUAAAUAUGUUUUUAGCGUUGAAAACGAAUUAGAAUUUUUAGCAGGAAAACAAUAAAAACUAUCUUCUUGAGUAACAUAGCAUUGAUCGAAUAAUUCACGAAACUGUGCCAAAAAUAUUUCAAACAUCCUGAAACUCUUACUUAUUCAUAAAAAAUUAUACAUGGCUUAGUGGAUUAAAACUUUCUAUCUGAGAAAUUUACUAAGCAAUUUCGAUUUUUAAUAAGAAUUCUGGAAAAGUAAUGCUUUUACUGGGUUUGAGAAGUAAUAAACUUACGGUAAAAUAGGAUUAAUACUAUAAAAUUUAGAUUCCUUUUAAAAAUUUCCCACAUUUUAGCCAUACUCUUGGUAAAUUACAUAUAUAUUUUUUUUUUUUUUCAAAUAUUCUUGUUUCUGAAUCCAUUCCAAUUACUAAGCAAAUAACUAAGCCUGAAGUUGUUAAAUCCGUUUUUUAUGAAUAAAUAACGAAUUUUAAUGUGUUAGAAGAAUAUUACAAUUUUGUAACUGCUUGAUCUGGCUUACAACCUGUCGUCGAGCGGCAAAACAAGGCUCGUGCAAUUUUCUUUAUCAUGUUACAUAUGUGCAUUCAUUAUUAUAAAUUAUCACGCGUCUUUUUUAUGACUCUAAACUAAACCUUGUAUUCCAAAUGCGUUAUUAUGUCCGUAAAACAUACAAUAAAUGGUUAAUAUGGAGUUUUGCCAAU